CAAUGAAGUUUGCACUAAAGCCUGAGACCAGAGCAAUGUGGGUUACAGCAGUCUGCGGUCGCACUCUCUCUUGGCACAUGCCUGCACCGGGCGAUCCACGCUCCUUCCCUCACACGCUCGUGGCACAUCCUCGGGCUCGCAGGGCCGUGCUACGGUGGUUGCAGGGGACGGCGCUGCCCGCGACGUCCCGGCCCUUCACCGGGCAGCUCCACGACCCCACGGUGCGUG
rnacentral:lncRNA from 1 species